UACGUAGGGUGCAAGCGUUAAUCGGAAUUACUGGGCGUAAAGCGUGCGCAGGCGGUUAUGUAAGUCAGCUGUGAAAUGCCCGGGCUUAACCUGGGAACUGCAUUUGUGACUGCAUGGCUAGAGUUUGGCAGAGGGGGGUAGAAUUCCACGUGUAGCAGUGAAAUGCGUAGAUAUGUGGAGGAACACCGAUGGCGAAGGCAGCCCCCUGGGUCAAGACUGACGCUCAUGCACGAAAGCGUGGGGAGCAAACAGG
rnacentral:rRNA from 1 species